GAAAAUUCGGCAUUUGGUUGAUACUACUCUUACUCUUUUGGCUCAUGCCAACUUGCCCAAACGUUUUUGGAAUUUUGCUUUAGAGCAAAGUGCUAUGUUAAUCAAUGUUCUUCCUAGCCAUGUCAUUCAACAAAAAUCACCAUAUCAAAUGUUACAUCUUCAGAAUCCAAAAUAUUCAGUUUUUAAACCUUUUGGUUGUGCUAUAUUUCCUUUGUUGCGUCCCUAUAAUAAAAAUAAAUUUUCUUUUCGUUCUGUUCAAUGUGUCAAUCUAGGCUUAAGUCCUAAUCAUUGUGCUUUUCGUUGUCUUGAUGUUAAAAAUAAUAGAGUCUAUUUAGCUAGGCAUGUCAAACUUCAUGAGACUAUUUUUCCAUAUGCCGAUUUAUCUUCUUCCAUUCCUGUUCCACGUCCUAUUCAAGAACCAUGGCUUAAUAUUACUAGUGCUGCACUUCCUUCACAAGUCUUGGCAUCAGUAUCCUCUUCAGGUAAUGUUUCUUCACCUUUAUCUUCCCCUUCACAAAUCAUAACUCCAACCUCUCACCCACAUGCACCCACCUUGCCAUCAUCUCCAAUUCUUACCCGGACUCCUCAAGCCCAAUUACCAGUUGACACUUCACCCACUAAUGUCGGCCUAAGUCUUAUACCUCUUGUUACUACUGAACCCGUCACACCACAAGUAACUCAGCCAAUUAGAACACAUCCUAUGCUCCUACGACCCAACCCAAAACCAAAGAAAUUUGCCUAUGUCAUCAACACAAAACCAAACUAUUUAGUGACUGAACCUAACACAGUUAAACAAGCUAUACCAUAUGCAGAAUGGAGGGUAGCGAUGCAGGAUGAGCUUUCUGCUCUUACUCAAAAUCAGACUUGGUCUUUGGUUCCCCGACCAUUGAACAAGAAUGUUAUUGGCAAUCGGUGGAUUUUUCGAAUUAAACGGCAUGCUGAUGGAACCAUUGAUCGUUACAAGGCUCGUUUGGUAGCCAAAGGGUAUUCCCAGCAGUGUGGUAUUGAUUACCAAGAAACUUUUUCUCCGGUAAUUAAAUUUACAACGGUCCGGACGAUACUUUCUCUUGCUGUUUCUUCACAUUGGUCCAUUAAACAGAUUGACAUAUCCAAUGCUUUUCUUCAUGGCUUUCUUCAUGACGAGGUAUAUAUGGAGCAGCCCACAGGUUUUACAAAUUCGUCGUUUCCUGAUCAUGUUUGUAAGCUUCAACGGUCUUUAUAUGGGUUAAAGCAGGCCCCUCGUCAAUGGUUUAUGCGGUUAACUACCUUUCUUCUCUCAUUGGGGUUCAAGCAAUCCAAAGCUGAUAAUUCUCUUUUUUAUUUAUGUCGUGGUUCCUUGAAGUUUUUUAUUUUGAUUUAUGUGGACGACAUAAUUCUAACUUGUUCCAAUUCCAAUGAGUUACAGAACGUACUUCAACAAUUGGGUUCUGUGUUUCCUGUGAAGGACUUGGGUGACUUGCAUUAUUUUUUGGGCAUUCAAGUCAGCCGGAUUAAUGAUGGUUUACUGUUAUCUCAAGAGAAAUAUCUUGAAGGCAUUCUUAGUGAUCAUAAUAUGGCUGCUGCAAAACCAUUUUCUACUCCUAUGCCGACAACUCCGAAUCUUAGUAAGUUGAUGGGUGAAAAAAUGUCUGAUGCCACAUGUUAUCGACAGGUCCUCGGUGCUUUACAGUAUAUGACUUUGACGAGACCUGAUAUUGCUUUCUCCGUCAACAAAUUGGCACAAUUCAUGCACUCUCCCACAGUCUUACAUUGGCAGGCUGUUAAGAGAUUGCUUCGAUACUUGCGGGGAACAAGUAAAUAUGGGUUAUUUAUAACACCUAGUGCUGAUUUUCACUUCCAUUGUUUUUCGGAUAGUGAUUGGGGAGGCUGUCCGGAUGAUCGUCGUUCCACUGGUGGCUAUUUGAUUUAUUUUGGCAAAAAUUUAGUUUCCUGGUCCUCUAAAAAGCAACCAACUGUUGCCCGAUCGUCAACUGAAAGUGAAUAUAAAGCAUUAGCUAAUGCUGCAGCUGAGGCUUUAUGGCUACGUUCUCUGUUAUGUGAAAUUGGUUAUGGCCAUAAGUUAUCAAUUUCAUUAUGGUGUGAUAAUAUUGGGGCAGUCUACUUGUCGUCUAAUCCUGUUCUUCAUUCCAGAACAAAACAUGUGGCCCUUGACUAUCAUUUUGUUAGAGAACAAGUUCAAAAUGGCACAAUUACUAUUCGCUUUAUAAGCUCUGCUGAUCAGAUAGCAGAUAUUCUUACAAAGCCAUUGGCAAAGGGACCAUUUCUUUUUCUUCGUGACAAGCUUCGGCUCCGAACUCUUCCACCAUCAGCUUGAGGGAGGGUAUUAGUGAAACUACGUAACCACCGUUCCGAUAUACUCUGCAUUAUUAUCUUGUUGUAAUCUUGUAGAUCUUUUGGUUAUCUUUCUGUUAUAGCUAUUUUUAGGAUUUAGAAAUAUUAUAUAAAGCAAUGUAAUCUCUGUAUUUAACACAUUAAUAUACAAUUCUUCUAAGCCUCAAAUACUUUUCUUCUUCUGUUUCUCUUGGUUUUUACAUGGUAUCAGAGCCAUGGUUGAUGAAAA
rnacentral:misc_RNA from 1 species